UGUUAGACCAGUCAGCUGAAUCCUCUUAUGAUCAAGAGCUGUAAUGCAUAUCAGUUUUGUUAUCAGUUUGAACCGUAUUUUCUUUGAAUUACCGUAACAGCCCUUCAUCAUAGGAGGAAUCAACUGGCUGGUCUAACA
rnacentral:pre_miRNA from 1 species